CGACCGGCGCACGGUGAGUAACGCGUAUGCAACCUGCCUGAUACCGGGGUAUAGCCCAUGGAAACGUGGAUUAACACCCCAUAGUACUUUUAUCCUGCAUGGGAUGUGAGUUAAAUGUUCAAGGUAUCGGAUGGGCAUGCGUCCUAUUAGUUAGUUGGCGGGUAACAGCCCACCAAGACGAUGAUAGGUAGGGGUUCUGAGAGGAAGGUCCCCCACAUUGGAACUGAGGCACGGUCCAA
rnacentral:rRNA from 1 species